rnacentral:rRNA from 1 species
UACGUAGGGUGCGAGCGUUGUCCGGAAUUACUGGGCGUAAAGAGCUCGUAGGUGGUUUGUCGCGUUGUUCGUGAAAACUCACAGCUUAACUGUGGGCGUGCGGGCGAUACGGGCAGACUGGAGUACUGCAGGGGAGACUGGAAUUCCUGGUGUAACGGUGGAAUGCGCAGAUAUCAGGAGGAACACCAGUGGCGAAAGCGGCUUCCUGGUCCAGCACCGACGUUCAGGCACGAAAGCGUGGGGAGCAAACAGG